rnacentral:lncRNA from 1 species
UAUGUUGUAUCAGCAUUGGAUUUAUUUUGGGAACUUAAUCUUGAUAUCAUAGAAAAUCCAUUGAAAAUUAUUUUGUUGAUAAAGAGAAUAGAAAGAAGGUAAUAGAAGGAUAUUGGGAGUAUGAAAGACUUCUAUAAUCAUGGCAAGAUCUAAGCAAUGGAAGGAUAUUUUAUUAAGAAUAAUCUCUUUUACUGAUAUUUUGAGUGGAUCUUCUAAAGUUGACUGUUCUUUCUAAUUACCAUGCUCU